GCCUUCGUGGUGUAGUGGUCAGCACGCUGGGCGCGUAUUCCAGAGGUCCGUGGUUCGAGUCCCGGCAAAGGCG
rnacentral:tRNA from 1 species